rnacentral:tRNA from 1 species
UAGAUUGAAGCCAGUUGUUUAGGGUAUUUAGCUGUUAACUAAAUUUUUAUGGGAUAAAAGCCCAUCGGUCUAG